GCCCGCGUGGCACAGUGGCUACUGCUUCGUUUCUGCUAAAAACGAAUGAUCCCUUGUUCGAAUCAAGGCGUGGGUA